rnacentral:rRNA from 1 species
CCCCUAGAUGUUCUGGGCCGCACGCGCGCUACACUGAUUCAUGCAACAAGUUUUGUCCUUGGCUGAUAGGCCUGGGUAAUCUUUGAACGUGAAUCGUGAUGGGGAUAGAUGAUUGCAAUUAUUCAUCUUCAACGAGGAAUUCCUAGUAAACGCAAGUCAUCAGCUUGCAUUGAUUACGUCCCUGCCCUUUGUACACACCGCCCGUCGCACCUACCGAUUGAAUGGUCCGGUGAAAUCUUCGGAUCUGAGAGAUGUCUGAUUAAUUUCGGACGCCUUUUGGAAAAGUUGCUUAAACCUUACCAUUUAGAGGAAGGUGAANUCGUAACA